rnacentral:rRNA from 1 species
CCUACGGGAGGCAGCAGUGGGGAAUAUUGCACAAUGGGGGAAACCCUGAUGCAGCAACGCCGCGUGAGUGAAGAAGUAUUUCGGUAUGUAAAGCUCUAUCAGCAGGGAAGAAAAAAGACGGUACCUGACUAAGAAGCCCCGGCUAACUACGUGCCAGCAGCCGCGGUAAUACGUAGGGGGCAAGCGUUAUCCGGAUUUACUGGGUGUAAAGGGAGCGUAGACGGCAUAGCAAGUCUGAAGUGAAAACUAUGGGCUUAACCCAUAGCCUGCUUUUGAAACUGUUUUUCUUGAGUGAAGUAGAGGCA